rnacentral:rRNA from 1 species
AUUGAACGCUAGCGGGAUGCUUUACACAUGCAAGUCGAACGGCAGCGCGGACUUCGGUCUGGCGGCGAGUGGCGAACGGGUGAGUAAUGUAUCGGAACGUGCCCAGUAGCGGGGGAUAACUACGCGAAAGCUUAGCUAAUACCGCAUACGCCCUACGGGGGAAAGCAGGGGAUCGUAAGACCUUGCACUAUUGGAGCGGCCGAUAUCGGAUUAGCUAGUUGGUGAGGUAACGGCUCACCAAGGCGACGAUCCGUAGCUGGUUUGAGAGGACGACCAGCCACACUGGGACUGAGACACGGCCCAGACUCCUACGGGAGGCAGCAGUGGGGAAUUUUGGACAAUGGGGGCAACCCUGAUCCAGCCAUCCCGCGUGUGCGAUGAAGGCCUUCGGGUUGUAAAGCACUUUUGGCAGGAAAGAAACGUCGCGGGCUAAUACCCCGUGGAACUGACGGUACCUGCAGAAUAAGCACCGGCUAACUACGUG